CAGGGGAGCUGAAGGCAGAAGGCCCAACCUGAGUCCAGAGGCCAGAGGACCAGGAGCCUCCAUGUCCAAGGGCAGGAGAAGACAUGUCCCAGCUCGGCAGAGAGAAGAUCCACCCUUCCUCUCCCUGUCACCCUGUUCCGACACUGUGCCCGCUGCAACCCCCAUCAAGGAGUAAGAAGAGAGGUUUGAGUCCUUCUCAUCCAGGGACGGAGACACUGCCACGGUACCCCAAAGGGCUCCAGUUACCCAGUUUUACACAUCGGUGGGGAAGACGGCUGCAGAGGAACCCACAGCACUGUGAGCACUGGCCGGGUCCCUGGAAUGACGGAGCCCUUAGGCGCCAGCCUCAGCACUCUCCGCAGACCCUGCGGGAGCCGAAGACCCUGGGUUCCUGGGUGCCGUUUCCCACGAGGCUUCAGGUGCCUGCACUGCCAUGGCAGGCUGGAGAUGUCACGAAGACUAUUUCCAAACGUCACACCUAAUCAGCCACUGAAAACAUCCAGUGCCGUGACAUUCAGAUGACGCAAUUCACUCACUUGCCUAGAAUGAGUAAAAAUCUUAAUAUUUGUUCUCAA